rnacentral:rRNA from 1 species
GAGUUUGAUCCUGGCUCAGGACGAACGCUGGCGGCGUGCUUAACACAUGCAAGUCGAACGGAGUACCCUCGAAAGAGAUUUCGGUCAAUGGAGAGGACUACUUAGUGGCGGACGGGUGAGUAACGCGUGAGGAACCUGCCUUUCAGAGGGGGACAACAGUUGGAAACGACUGCUAAUACCGCAUAACGUAUUUGUGUCGCAUGGCAUGGAUACCAAAGAUUUAUCGCUGAGAGAUGGCCUCGCGUCUGAUUAGCUAGUUGGUAGGGUAACGGCCUACCAAGGCGACGAUCAGUAGCCGGACUGAGAGGUUGGCCGGCCACAUUGGGACUGAGAUACGGCCCAGACUCCUACGGGAGGCAGCGGUGGGGAAUAUUGCACAAUGGGGGAAACCCUGAUGCAGCAACGCCGCGUGAGUGAAGAAGUAUUUCGGUAUGUAAAGCUCUAUCAGCAGGGAAGAAGAAGGACGGUACCUGACUAAGAAGCCCCGGCUAACUACGUGCCAGCAGCCGCGGUAAUACGUAGGGGGCGAGCGUUAUCCGGAUUUACUGGGUGUAAAGGG